AAGGCUAUACUUUCAGGAAUCACUUCUGUAGUUUGCUACUGGAGAGGUUUCCCUGAACAUGUAGAGCACUGAUAGGCCAUGAGGAGGCACAGCAUCUCUCCAUAAGCGUGAAGUCUGCUCACGUUUGCUCUUGUUUGUCUGCCUAUGGGGAGCAAGGAGGGGAGGGC
ensembl:snoRNA U3 Small nucleolar RNA U3